CUACGGGACGCUCCAGUGGGGAAUAUUGCGCAAUGGAGGAAACUCUGACGCAGCAAUGCCAUGUGAAGGAUGAAGGCCUUAGGGUUGUAAACUUCUGUCUAGAGGGAAGAAGUACUGACGGUACCUCUAAAGAAAGCACCGGCUAACUCCGUGCCAGCAGCCGCGGUAAUACGGAGGGUGCAAGCGUUAUUCGGAUUUACUAGGUGUAAAGGGCGUGUAGGCGGUUCUUUAAGUUAGAUGUGAAAUCUUACAGCUCAACUGUAUGGCUGCAUCUAAAACUGAUAAACUAGAGUAUUGAAGGGGAAAAUGGAAUUGCUAGUGUAGCGGUGGAAUGUGUAGAUACUAGAAGGAACACCAAUGGCGAAAGCAGUUUUCUGGUUAAAUACUGACGCUAAGGCGCGAAAGCUAGGGGAGCAAACAGGAUUAGAUACCCGUGUAGUC
rnacentral:rRNA from 1 species